GAACUUAAGCAUAUCAAUAAGGCGAGGAACAGAAACCAACUGGGAUUCCCCUAGUAGUGGCGAAUGAAGCGGGAAAAGCUCAAGUUUGAAAUCCGGCGGGUGACUUCCGGAGUUGUAAGCUGAUGAGGUAUCGACCGACGUGGUCCGGGCCCAAUUUCCUUGGAACAGGAGGUCAUGGAGGGUGAGAACCCCGUCCGUGGCUCGGGUGCCAUCGUCCUUGUGUCGUGUCCUCUAAGAGUCGGGUUGUUUGGGAAUGCAGCUCAAAAUGGGUGGUAAAUUUCAUCUAAAGCUAAAUACUGGCGAGAGACCGAUAGCAAACAAGUAGAGUGAUCGAAAGAUGAAAAGUACUUUGAAAAGAGAGUGAAACAGUACGUGAAAUUGUUGAAAGGGAAGCGUUUGGCAUCAGCCCUUGGCGUCCGUCGAACAUCCAGGCUUCUGCCUGGUGCACUCGUCGGUCGUCGGGCCAGCGUCGGCUCUGCCUGUCGGAGAAAGGUCCGAGGGAUGUGGCUCACCUUCGAGCGUUAUAACCUCGGGCGUCAUGCGAUAUGGUGGGGCCGAGGUCUGCGGACUCUGUCCUAGGACGCUGGCGUAAUGGUUCCAAGCGACCCGUCUUGAAACACGGACCAAGGAGUCUAACAUCUAUGCGAGUGUUUGGGUGUCAAGCCCGUCCGCGCAAUGAAAGUGAAUGCAGGCGGGAGCCGUAAAAGGUGCACCGCCGACCGGUCCGGGGGUUUACCGAAGGAUCCGAGUAAGAGCAUAGCUGUUGGGACCCGAAA
rnacentral:rRNA from 1 species